UACGUAGGGGGCAAGCGUUGUCCGGAUUUAUUGGGCGUAAAGAGCGUGUAGGCGGCCAGACAGGUCCGUUGUGAAAACUCGAGGCUCAACCUCGAGACGUCGAUGGAAACCGUCUGGCUAGAGUCCGGAAGAGGAGAGUGGAAUUCCUGGUGUAGCGGUGAAAUGCGCAGAUAUUCGGAAGAACACCAGUGGCGAAGGCGACUCACUGGACACAUAUUGACGCUGAGGUGCGAAAGCGUGGGGAGCAAACAGG
rnacentral:rRNA from 1 species